AACGAACGCUGGCGGCAGGCUUAACACAUGCAAGUCGAACGCACCUUUCGGGGUGAGUGGCAGACGGGUGAGUAACGCGUGGGAAUCUACCCUUCUCUACGGGAUAGCUCCGGGAAACUGGAAUUAAUACCGUAUACGUCCUGAGGGAGAAAGAUUUAUCGGGGAAGGAUGAGCCCGCGUUGGAUUAGCUAGUUGGUGGGGUAAAGGCCUACCAAGGCGACGAUCCAUAGCUGGUCUAAGAGGAUGAUCAGCCACAUUGGGACUGAGACACGGCCCAAACUCCUACGGGAGGCAGCAGUGGGGAAUAUUGGACAAUGGGCGCAAGCCUGAUCCAGCCAUGCCGCGUGAGUGAUGAAGGCCCUAGGGCUGUAAAGCUCUUUCAGUGGGGACGAUAAUGACGGUACCCACAGAAGAAGCCCCGGCUAACUCCGUGCCAGCAGCCGCCGCGGUAA
rnacentral:rRNA from 1 species